CCUACAUUUAGUCAUAGAAUACUUUGGACAGCAUUUUGGAGUCAAGGUCACCAGUUGAAAAAUAAUCCAGCAUACAAUGGAGCUCCACUCGGCCACUCUGUCAGGUAGGAUGCUCAAGUGAGAUUGCAGCUUUCGCUGUAUGUAAAGAUAGACUGUGUGAUUUCUAAUCCAUUCUGUUGAGAAAGCUAGGGAUUGGACAAUCAAGAUAUGCCUGUACUCCACCAAAGUCUCCUUGCUUUUAGCUUGUGAUUUAAACCUGCAGCCAUGGAGGUGAUAUUGAUAUAGGGUGGACGUUCCAUGUAUAAG